UACGUAGGGUGCGAGCGUUGUCCGGAAUUAUUGGGCGUAAAGAGCUCGUAGGCGGUCUGUCACGUCGGAUGUGAAAACUCGGGGCUCAACCCCGAGCCUGCAUUCGAUACGGGCAGACUAGAGUUCGGUAGGGGAGACUGGAAUUCCUGGUGUAGCGGUGAAAUGCGCAGAUAUCAGGAGGAACACCGGUGGCGAAGGCGGGUCUCUGGGCCGAUACUGACGCUGAGGAGCGAAAGCGUGGGGAGCGAACAGG
rnacentral:rRNA from 2 species